UCAACAAGUUGUAUAAUUAAAAUAAAAUUAUCAUAAAUUCUAUUUUAGGAAAAUUUUCAUUUUUAUAGAAAACUAUUGUUGGUUUGGGGUUGUGAUUUUUAAAUUAGGAUAGCAAGAUUUUAAGUUGAUAGAUGGGUAUUUCUUAAGAUUUUUUUAUCAACAAGUUGUAUUUUAAAAAUAAAAUUAUUAAAAAUUCUAUUUUAGGAAACUUUUCAUUUUUACAGAAAAAGUAUUAAAGAUUUGGGAGUUGUGAUUUAGAAAUUAGGAUAACAAGAAUUUUUGUUGAUAGAUGAGUAUUCUUUUAGAUUUUUUGAUCGACAAGUUGUUUUUAAAAAAAAAAAAUUCUCAAAAUUUUUAUUUUAGAAAAGUUUUCAUUUUUAUAGAAAAAUGUUGUGGAUUUGGGGUUUUGAUUUUGAAAUUAGGAUAACAAGCAUUGUUGUUGAUAGAUGAGUAUUCUUUUAGAUUUUUUGAUCAAUAUGUUGUAUUUUUAAAUUAAAAUUCUCAAAAAUUAUGUUUUAGGAAAGUUUUCAUUUUUAUAUAAAAAUAAUUGUUGAUUUGGGGUUGUGAUUUUUAAAUUAGGAUAACAAUAUUUAAGUUGAUAGAAGGAUUUUUUUUAAAGAUUUUUUUUUAUCAAAAAGUUGUAUAUUUAAAAUAAAAUUAUCAUAAAUUAUAUUUUAGGAAAGUUUUCAUUUUUAUAGAAAAAUAUUGUUGGUUUGGGGUUGUGAUUUUUAAAUUAGAUAACAAGAUUUUAAGUUGAUAGAUGGGUAUUUCUUAAGAUUUUUUUAUCAACAAGUGUAUUUUAAAAAUAAAAUUAUUAAAAAUUCUAUUUUAGGAAACUUUUCAUUUUUACAGGAAAAAUAUUAAAGAUUUGGGAGUUGUGAUUUAGAAAUUAGGAUAACAAGAAUUUUUGUUGAUAGAUGAGUAUUCUUUUAGAUUUUUUAAUCAAUAUGUUGUAUUUUAAAAUAAAAUUCUCAAAAAUUCUAUUUUACGAAAGUUUUAUUUUUAGAGAAAAAUAUUGUAGAUUUGGGGUUCUUAUUUUUAAAUUAGGAUAACAAGAUUUUAAGUUGAUAGAUGGGUAUUUCUUAAGAUUUUUUGAUCAACAAGUUAUAUUUUUAAAAUAAAAUUAUCAAAAUUUCUAUUUUAGGAAAGUUUUCAUUUUUACAGAAAAAUAUUGAAGAUUUGGGGGUUGUAAUUUUGAAAUUAGGAUAACAAGCAUUUUUGUUGGUAGAUGAGUAUUUUUUUAGACUUUUUGAUCAAUAUUUUGUAUUUUUAAAUUAAAAUUCUGAAAAAUUCUAUUUAAGAAAGUUUUCAUUUUUAUAUAAAAAUAUUUUUGAUUUGGGGUUGUGAUUUUUAAAUUAGGAUAACAAGAUUUUAAGUUGAUAGAUGGGUAUUUUUUAAGUUUUUUUUAUCAACAAGUUGUAUUUUUAAAAUAAAAUUAUCAAAAAUUCUAUUUUAGGAAAGUUUUCAUUUUUAUAGAAAAAUAUUGUUGAUUUGGGGUUGUGAUUUUUAAAUUAGGAUAACAAGCAUUUUUGUUGAUAGAUGAAUAUUCUUUUUGAUUUUUUGAUCAAUAUGUUGUAUUUUAAAAAUAAAAUUCUCAAAAAUUCUAUUUUAGGAAAGUUUUCAUUUUUAGAGAAAAAUAUUGUAGAUUUGGGGUUGUGAUUUUUAAAUUAGGAUAACAAGAUUUUAAGUUGAUAGAUGGAUAUUUUUUAAGUUUUUUUGAUCAACAAGUUAUAUAUUUAAAAUAAAAUUAUCAAAAAUUCUAUUUUAGGAAAGUUUUCGUUUUCACAGAAAAAUAAUGAAGAUUUGGGGGUAGUAGUUUUGAAAUUAGGAUAACAAGCAUUUUUGUUGAUAGAUGAGUAUUCUUUUAGACUUUUUGAUCAAUAUGUUGCAUUUUAAAAUUAAAAUUCUGAAAAUUCUAUUUUAGGAAAGCUUUCAUUUUUAUAUAAAAAUAUUUUUUAUUUGGGGUUGUAAUUUUUAAAUUAGGAUGGAAAGAUUUUAAGUUGAUAGAUGGGUAUUUUUUAAGAUUUUUUGAUCAACAAGUUGUAUUUUUAAAAUAAAAUUAUCAUAAAUUAUAUAUUAGGAAAGUAAUCAUUUUUAUAGAAAAAUAUUGUUGAUUUGGGGUUGUGAUUUUUAAAUUAGGAUAACAAUAUUUUAAGUUGAUAGAAGGAUUUUUUUUAAAGAUUUUUUUUAUCAAAAAGUUGUAUAUUUAAAAUAAAAUUAUCAUAAAUUAUAUAUUAGGAAAGUAAUCAUUUUUAUAGAAAAAUAUUGUUGAUUUGGGGUUGUGAUUUUUAAAUUAGGAUAACAAUAUUUUAAGUUGAUAGAAGGAUUUUUUUUAAAGAUUUUUUUUAUCAAAAAGUUGUAUAUUUAAAAUAAAAUUAUCAUAAAUUAUAUAUUAGGAAAGUAAUCAUUUUUAUAGAAAAAUAUUGUUGAUUUGGGGUUGUGAUUUUUAAAUUAGGAUAAAAAUAUUUUAAGUUGAUAGAUGGGUAUUUUUUUAAGAUUUUUUGAUCAACAAGUUAUAUUUUUAAAAUAAAAUUAUCAAAAAUUCUAUUUCAAGAAAGUUUUCGUUUUUACAGAAAAAUAUUGAAGAUUUAGGGGUUAUAAUUUUGAAAUUAGGAUAACAAGCAUUUUUGUUGAUAGAUAAGUAUUGUUUUAGACUUUUUGAUCAAUAUGUUGUAUUUUUAAAUUAAAAUUCUGAAAAAUUCUGUUUUAGGAAAGUUUUCAUUUUUAUAUAAAAAUAUUUUUGAUUUGGGGUUGUGAUUUUUAAAUUAGGAUGGCAAGAUUUUAAGUUGAUAGAUGGGUAUUUUUUAAGAAUUUUUUAUCAACAAGUUGUAUUUUUAAAAUAAAAUUAUCAUAAAUUCUAUUUUAGGAAAGUUUUUCAUUUUUAUAGAAAAAUAUUGUUGAUUAGGGGUUGUGAUUUUUAAAUUAGGAAAACAAGAAUUUUUGUUGAUAGAUGAAUAUUCUUUUAGAUUUUUUGAUCAAUAUGUUGUAUUUUAAAAAUAAAAUUCUCAAAAAUUCUAUUUUAGGAAAGUUUUCAUUUUU
rnacentral:lncRNA from 1 species